AAAUUGAAGAGUUUGAUCAUGGCUCAGAUUGAACGCUGGCGGCAGGCCUAACACAUGCAAGUCGAACGGUAACAGGAAGCAGCUUGCUGCUUUGCUGACGAGUGGCGGACGGGUGAGUAAUGUCUGGGAAACUGCCUGAUGGAGGGGGAUAACUACUGGAAACGGUAGCUAAUACCGCAUAACGUCGCAAGACCAAAGAGGGGGACCUUCGGGCCUCUUGCCAUCGGAUGUGCCCAGAUGGGAUUAGCUAGUAGGUGGGGUAACGGCUCACCUAGGCGACGAUCCCUAGCUGGUCUGAGAGGAUGACCAGCCACACUGGAACUGAGACACGGUCCAGACUCCUACGGGAGGCAGCAGUGGGGAAUAUUGCACAAUGGGCGCAAGCCUGAUGCAGCCAUGCCGCGUGUAUGAAGAAGGCCUUCGGGUUGUAAAGUACUUUCAGCGGGGAGGAAGG
rnacentral:rRNA from 2 species